rnacentral:rRNA from 1 species
UACGGAAUGUGCAAACGUUAUUCGGAAUCACUGGGCUUAAAGAGUCCGUAGGCGGCUUGUUAGGUGAGGUGUGAAAUCCCUCGGCCCAACCGAGGAAUUGCGCUUCAAACCGGCAAGCUAGAGGAGGAUAGAGGUGGGCGGAACUGAUGGUGGAGCGGUGAAAUGCGUUGAUAUCAUCAGGAAGAACACCCGUGGCGAAGGCGGUUCUCUGGGACGGUACUGACGCUGAGACGCGAAAGCGUGGGGAGCGAACAGG